AUACAACUGACGAGUCCCGCAUAGGUUGAAACGUGCGUCCUGGAU
rfam:Schistosoma mansoni, Puerto Rico, WGS project CABG01000000 data, contig: 2349